AUUGAACGCUGGCGGCAUGCCUAACACAUGCAAGUCGAGCGGAGCGGGGGACGGGGGCGUAAUGCCUAGGAAUCUGCCUGGUCGUGGGGGAUAACGUCCGGAACCGGGCGCUAAUACCGCAUCCUAUCAGAUUAGUCUAGGUCGGAUUAGCUAGUGGGUGGGGUAAAGGCCGACCCAGGCCACGAUCCUGACCUGGUCUGAGAGGAUGAUCAGUCACACUGGGACUGAGACACGGUCCAGACUCCUACGGGAGGCAGCAGUGGGGAAUAUUGGACAAUGGGCGAAAGCCUGAUCCAGCCAUGCCGCGUGUGUGAAGAAGGUCUUCGGAUUGUAAAGCACUUUAAGUUGGGAGGCGUUACCAACAGAAUAAGCACCGGCUAACUUCGUGCCAGCAGCCGCGGUAAUAC
rnacentral:rRNA from 1 species